UAUCCAGACUCCUACGGGAGGCAGCAGUGGGGAAUAUUGGGCAAUGGGCGCAAGCCUGACCCAGCAACGCCGCGUGAAGGAAGAAGGCUUUCGGGUUGUAAACUUCUUUUCUCAGGGACGAAGAAAAUGACGGUACCUGACCAAGAAGCCCCGGCUAACUACGUGCCAGCAGCCGCGGUAAUACGUAGGGGGCAAGCGUUAUCCGGAUUUACUGGGUGUAAAGGGAGCGUAGACGGUGCGCCAAGUCUGGAGUGAAAUGCCGCGGCUUAACCGCGGAACUGCUUUGGAAACUGGCGCGCUUGAGUGCGGGAGGGGUAAGCGGAAUUCCUAGUGUAGCGGUGAAAUGCGUAGAUAUUAGGAGGAACACCGGUGGCGAAGGCGGCUUACUGGACCGUAACUGACGUUGAGGCUCGAAAGCGUGGGGAGCAAACAGGAUUAGAUACCCGGGUAA
rnacentral:rRNA from 1 species